rnacentral:rRNA from 1 species
UACGGGGGUUGCAAGCGUUAUUCGAAAUUAUUGGGCGUAAAGCGCGCGUAGGUUGUGAGGUAAGUCCUGUGUGAAAGCUCCGAGCUUAACUCGGAAAAGUCAUGGGAUACUACCUUGCUUGAGGAUGAGAGAGGAUAGCGGAAUUCCCAGUGUAGUGGUGAAAUACGUAGAUAUUGGGAGGAACACCGGAGGCGAAAGCGGCUAUCUGGCUCAUUUCUGACGCUGAGGUGCGAAAGCGUGGGUAGCAAACAGG